UUAGCGGCGGACGGGUGAGUAACACGUGGGUAACCUGCCUGUAAGACUGGGAUAACUCCGGGAAACCGGAGCUAAUACCGGAUAGUUCCUUGAACCGCAUGGUUCAAGGAUGAAAGACGGUUUCGGCUGUCACUUACAGAUGGACCCGCGGCGCAUUAGCUAGUUGGUGGGGUAAUGGCUCACCAAGGCGACGAUGCGUAGCCGACCUGAGAGGGUGAUCGGCCACACUGGGACUGAGACACGGCCCAGAYUCCUACGGGAGGCAGCAGUAGGGAUCUUCCGCAAUGGACGAAGUCUGACGGAGCAACGCCGCGUGAGUGAUGAAGGUUUUCGGAUCGUAAAGCUCUGUUGUUAGGGAAGAACAAGUGCGAGAGUAACUGCUCGCACCUUGACGGUACCUAACCAGAAAGCCACGGCUAACUACGUGCCAGCAGCCGCGGUAAUACGUAGGUGGCAAGCGUUGUCCGGAAUUAUUGGGCGUAAAGGGCUCGCAGGCGGUUUCUUAAGUCUGAUGUGAAAGCCCCCGGCUCAACCGGGGAGGGUCAUUGGAAACUGGGAAACUUGAGUGCAGAAGAGGAGAGUGGAAUUCCACGUGUAGCGGUGAAAUGCGUAGAGAUGUGGAGGAACACCAGUGGCGAAGGCGACUCUCUGGUCUGUAACUGACGCUGAGGAGCGAAAGCGUGGGGAGCGAACAGGAUUAGAUACCCUGGUAGUCCACGCCGUAAACGAUGAGUGCUAAGUGUUAAGGGGGUUUCCGCCCCUUAGUGCUGCAGCUAACGCAUUAAGCACUCCGCCUGGGGGAGUACGGUCGCAAGACUGAAACUCAAAGGAAUUGACGGGGGCCCGCACAAGCGGUGGAGCAUGUUGGUUUAAUUCGAAGCAACGCGAAGAACCUUACCAGGUCUUGACAUCCUCUGACAACCCUAGAAGAUAGGGCUUUCCCUUCGGGGACAGAGUGACAGGUGGGUGCAUGGUUGUCGUCAGCUCGUGUCGUGAGAWGUUGGGUUAAGUCCCGCAACGAGCGCAACCCUUGAUCUUAGUUGCCAGCAUUCAGUUGGGCACUCUAAGGUGACUGCCGGUGACAAACCGGAGGAAAGGUGGGGAUGACGUCAAAUCAUCAUGCCCCUUAUGACCUGGGCUACACACGUGCUACAAUGGACAGAACAAAGGGCUGCAAGACCGCAAGGUUUAGCCAAUCCCAUAAAUCUGUUCUCAGUUCGGAUCGCAGUCUGCAACUCGACUGCGUGAAGCUGGAAUCGCUAGUAAUCGCGGAUCAGCAUGCCGCGGUGAAUACGUUCCCGGGCCUUGUACACACCGCCCGUCACACCACGAGAGUUUGCAACAUCCGAUGUCC
rnacentral:rRNA from 1 species